rnacentral:rRNA from 1 species
UACGGAGGGUGCGAGCGUUAAUCGGAAUUACUGGGCGUAAAGCGCACGCAGGCGGUCUGUUAAGUCAGAUGUGAAAUCCCCGGGCUCAACCUGGGAACUGCAUUUGAAACUGACAGGCUUGAGUCUUGUAGAGGUGGGUAGAAUUCCAGGUGUAGCGGUGAAAUGCGUAGAGAUCUGGAGGAAUACCGGUGGCGAAGGCGGCCCACUGGACAAAGACUGACGCUCAGGUGCGAAAGCGUGGGGAGCAAACAGG